CCUGGCUCAGGAUGAACGCUGGCGGCGUGCCUAACACAUGCAAGUCGAACGAAGCACUUUCCGAGGAAGAGGCGUGCUUGCACAAAUCGGACUCAUUAAAGUGACUUAGUGGCGGACGGGUGAGUAACGCGUGGGUAACCUGCCUUAUACAGGGGGAUAACAGUUAGAAUGACUGCUAAUACCGCAUAAGCGCACGGUAUCGCAUGAUACAGUGUGAAAAGCGUAACGGUAUAAGAUGGACCCGCGUCUGAUUAGCCAGUUGGUGAGGUAACGGCUCACCAAAGCGACGAUCAGUAGCCGGCCUGAGAGGGGUGAACGGCCACAUUGGGACUGAGACACGGCCCAAACUCCUACGGGAGGCAGCAGUGGGGGAUAUUGCACAAUGGGGGGAAACCCUGAUGCAAGCGACGCCGCGUGAGUGAUGAAGUAUUUCGGUAUGUAAAGCUCUAUCAGCAGGGAAGAAAAUGACGGUACCUGACUAAGAAGCCCCGGCUAACUACGUGCCAGCCGCCGC
rnacentral:rRNA from 1 species